rnacentral:rRNA from 1 species
UACGGGGGGGGGCAAGCGUUGUUCGGAAUUACUGGGCGUAAAGAGCUCGUAGGCGGCUUGUCGCGUCGACUGUGAAAUCCCGCGGCUCAACUGCGGGUCUGCAGUCGAUACGGGCAGGCUAGAGUUCGGUAGGGGAGACUGGAAUUCCUGGUGUAGCGGUGAAAUGCGCAGAUAUCAGGAGGAACACCGGUGGCGAAGGCGGGUCUCUGGGCCGAUACUGACGCUGAGGAGCGAAAGCGUGGGGAGCGAACAGG